GAUGAACGCUAGCGAUAGGCUUAACACAUGCAAGUCGAGGGGCAGCAUGGUCUUAGCUUGCUAAGACUGAUGGCGACCGGCGCACGGGUGCGUAACGCGUAUGCAACUUGCCUCACAGAGGGGGAUAACCCGUCGAAAGACGGACUAAUACCGCGUACACUCUAUGUUGGGCAUCCAAUGUAGAGGAAAUGAAAUUCGCUGUGAGAUAGGCAUGCGUCCCAUUAGCUAGUUGGUGAGGUAACGGCUCACCAAGGCGACGAUGGGUAGGGGAACUGAGAGGUUGAACCCCCACACUGGUACUGAGACACGGACCAGACUCCUACGGGAGGCAGCAGUGAGGAAUAUUGGUCAAUGGGCGAGAGCCUGAACCAGCCAAGUCGCGUGAAGGAUGACUGUCUUAUGGAUUGUAAACUUCUUUUAUACGGGAAUAACAAGAGCCACGAGUGGCUCCCUGCAUGUACCGUAUGAAUAAGCA
rnacentral:rRNA from 1 species